rnacentral:rRNA from 1 species
UAGACAACUGGGAUUGCCUUAGUAACGGCGAGUGAAGCGGCAAUAGCUCAAAUUUGAAAGCUGGCCCCUUUGGGGUCCGCAUUGUAAUUUGUAGAGGAUGAUUCGGCGAGGGCUCCCGUCUAAGUCCCCUGGAACGGGGCGUCAUAGAGGGUGAGAAUCCCGUAUGUGAUGGGUUGCCUUAGCCAUGUGAAUCUCCUUCGACGAGUCGAGUUGUUUGGGAAUGCAGCUCUAAAUGGGAGGUAAAUUUCUUCUAAAGCUAAAUACCGGCCAGAGACCGAUAGCGCACAAGUAGAGUGAUCGAAAGAUGAAAAGCACUUUGGAAAGAGAGUUAAAAAGUACGUGAAAUUGUUGAAAGGGAAGCGCUUGCAGCCAGACUUGUCCGCAGUUGCUCAGCCGGUCUCCUGACCGGCGUACUCUUCUGCGGCCAGGCCAGCAUCAGUUCGGGCGGUCGGAUAAAGGCCCCGGGAAUGUAGCUCCUCUCGGGGAGUGUUAUAGCCCGGGGUGGAAUGCGGCCAGCCUGGACUGAGGAUCUCGCUUCGGCUAGGAUGCUGGCGUAAUGGCUGUAAGCGGCCCGUCUUGAAACACGGACCAAGGAGUCUAACAUCUAUGCGAGUGUUUGGGUGUCAAACCCAUACGCGUAAUGAAAGUGAACGGAGGUGGGAACCCUCACGGGUGCACCAUCGACCGAUCCUGAUGUCUUCGGAUGGAUUUGAGUAAGAGCAUAGCUGUUGGGACCCGAAAGAUGGUGAACUAUGCCUGAAUAGGGUGAAGCCAGAGGAAACUCUGGUGGAGGCUCGCAGCGGUUCUGACGUGCAAAUCGAUCGUCAAAUUUGGGUAUAGGGGCGAAAGACUAAUCGAACCAUCUAGUAGCUGGUUCCUGCCGAAGUUCCCCC